UACGUAGGGUGCAAGCGUUGUCCGGAUUAUUGGGCGUAAAGAGCUCGUAGGCGGUUUGUCGCGUCUGCUGUGAAAACCCGAGGCUCAACCUCGGGCCUGCAGUGGGUACGGGCAGACUAGAGUGCGGUAGGGGAGAUUGGAAUUCCUGGUGUAGCGGUGGAAUGCGCAGAUAUCAGGAGGAACACCUAUUGCGAAGGCAGCUCGCUGGGACGUAACUGACGCUGAGACGCGAAAGCGUGGGGAGCAAACAGG
rnacentral:rRNA from 1 species